UACGUAGGGGGCUAGCGUUAUCCGGAUUUACUGGGCGUAAAGGGUGCGUAGGCGGUCUUUCAAGUCAGGAGUGAAAGGCUACGGCUCAACCGUAGUAAGCUCUUGAAACUGUAAGACUUGAGUGCAGGAGAGGAGAGUGGAAUUCCUAGUGUAGCGGUGAAAUGCGUAGAGAUUGGGAGGAACACCAGUGGCGAAGGCGACUUACUGGGCCGUAACUGACGCUGAGGCGCGAAAGCGUGGGGAGCGAACAGGAUUAGAUACCCUGGUAGUCCCUGA
rnacentral:rRNA from 1 species